UUUCCGUAGGUGAACCUGCGGAAGGAUCAUUAUUGUAUAACCGAGGUGCGAGGGCUGUCGCUGACCCGAAAGGUCGUGCACGCCCGAGUGCCCUCACACGCAUCCAUCUCACCCCUAUGUGCACCACCGCGUGGGUCCCCCUUUGGCUUGUUCGGAGGGGGGCUUACGUUUUCACUCAAUCUUUGUAUGCAGUGUAGAAUGUAUUUUUUGUUUUUGCGAUCACGCAAUCAAUACAACUUUCAACAACGGAUCUCUUGGCUCUC
rnacentral:misc_RNA from 1 species